GUCAAUGCACUGAAUUGACUCCGAGCCAGAUCCAAAAGAGCCCUCCUUCACUUCAAAAUUAACACCAAAUAAACACCCAGAAACCUCUAUUUGCACAAUUUUAAAGCAAAGGAAUAUAGAAAAGAGAAAUCAAAACAGAGCAAGAAUCAACAACUGCAAAAUUCACACACUAUACAAGCAAUGAUACAAGCACACACACAAAUCCAGAUGUAUGUAAAGACUAAU
rnacentral:misc_RNA from 1 species